GGCUUUUAGCUCAGUGGUUAGAGCGCUCGACUCCCACUUGAGAGCCCUGUGGAUCAAACCCACUAACUA
rnacentral:tRNA from 1 species